rnacentral:rRNA from 1 species
UGAGGAAUAUUGGUCAAUGGACGAGAGUCUGAACCAGCCAAGUAGCGUGAAGGAUGACUGCCCUAUGGGUUGUAAACUUCUUUUAUAUGGGAAUAAAGUUCUCCACGUGUGGAGUUUUGUAUGUACCAUUAUGAAUAAGCAUCGGCUAACUCCGUGCCAGCAGCCGCGGUAAUACGGAGGAUGCGAGCGUUAUCCGGAUUUAUUGGGUUUAAAGGGAGCGUAGGUGGACUGGUAAGUCAGUUGUGAAAGUUUGCGGCUCAACCGUAAAAUUGCAGUUGAUACUGUCAGUCUUGAGUACAGUAGAGGUGGGCGGAAUUCGUGGUGUAGCGGUGAAAUGCUUAGAUAUCACGAAGAACUCCGAUUGCGAAGGCAGCUCACUAGACUGCAACUGACACUGAGG